UACGUAGGGACCAAGCGUUGUUCGGAUUUACUGGGCGUAAAGGGCGCGUAGGCGGCCGACUAAGUCAGACGUGAAAUCCCCUGGCUCAACCAGGGAACUGCGUCUGAUACUGGACGGCUGGAGUUCGGGAGAGGGAAGUGGAAUUCCAGGUGUAGCGGUGAAAUGCGUAGAUAUUCGCAAGAACACCAGUGGCGAAGGCGGCUCACUGGCCCGGUACUGACGCUGAGGUGCGAAAGCGUGGGGAGCA
rnacentral:rRNA from 1 species